GGUGGUUCUCGGGUGAUGCACCCCAAAAUCAGGCUCCCUCCUUUCUAGUUCCUAAUGCAUCACCCGAGAACCACA
rfam:Myotis davidii contig80177, whole genome shotgun sequence.